rnacentral:rRNA from 1 species
UACGAAGGGUGCAAGCGUUACUCGGAAUUACUGGGCGUAAAGCGUGCGUAGGUGGUUUGUUAAGUCUGUUGUGAAAGCCCCGGGCUCAACCUGGGAAUGGCAAUGGAUACUGGCAAGCUAGAGUGCGGUAGAGGGUAGUGGAAUUCCCGGUGUAGCGGUGAAAUGCGCAGAUAUCAGGAGGAACACCAAUAGCGAAGGCAGCUCGCUGGGACGGUACUGACACUGAGGCGCGAAGCGUGGGGAGCGAACAGG